rnacentral:rRNA from 1 species
AGAGAGAGACAUGCGCGCAUAUCAAUAAGCGGAGGAAAAGAAACUAACAAGGAUUCCCCUAGUAACGGCGAGUGAAGCGGGAAGAGCUCAAAUUUGAAAUCUUAAAGGGUUUCCCUUUACGAAUUGUAGUUUAAAGAAGUGUUUUCUGUUGAGGUUUUGGUAAAAGUUCUUUGGAAUAGGACAUCAUAGAGGGUGAGAAUCCCGUAUUUGACCUUUACUUUCAACUUUGUGAUACACUUUCAAAGAGUCAGAUUGUUUGGGAAUGCAGUCCAAAAUGGGUGGUAAAUUUCAUCUAAAGCUAAAUAUUGGCGAGAGACCGAUAGCGAACAAGUACCGUGAGGGAAAGAUGAAAAGAACUUUGAAAAGAGAGUUAAACAGUACGUGAAAUUGUCAAAAGGGAAGCGUUUGACACCAGUGUUGUUUUUCUGAAAAUCAAUUAAAGAACUGUUUAUGCUAAGUUGUUUAGACUUUAUCAGCUAUCUGUUUAGUUUUGAGCUUUUCUUUAAUGCACUUUUCAGUUAACAAGUCAACAUCAAUUUCUUUUGCUGUAAAAAAGCUUGAGGAAGGUGGCUUGAGAUUCGUCUUAAGUGUUUAUAGCCUCUUGCCUAUGCAGUCGGAGAGAUUGAGGUCUGCAGCGUAGAUCCUUCGGGGCUAAAUGCAUUUGUGCUAAGUUAUAGCAUUUUAUAGACAACUUGUUGACUAUGAUUUGUCUUGUAGCUUACUCGCUUAUGUUAUUUUACCUACGCUUAGGAUGUUGAGGCGCAUGUCUCUCUCU